CCUACGGGAGGCAGCAGUGGGGAAUAUUGCACAAUGGGGGAAACCCUGAUGCAGCGACGCCGCGUGAGUGAAGAAGUAAUUCGUUAUGUAAAGCUCUAUCAGCAGGGAAGAAAAUGACGGUACCUGAGUAAGAAGCCACGGCUAACUACGUGCCAGCAGCCGCGGUAAGACGUAGGGGGCAAGCGUUAUCCGGAUUUACUGGGUGUAAAGGGAGCGUAGACGGCAGUGCAAGUCUGGAGUGAAAGGCGGGGGCUCAACCCCCGGACUGCUCUGGAAACUGUACGGCUGGAGUGCAGGAGAGGUAAGUGGAAUUCCUAGUGUAGCGGUGAAAUGCGUAGAUAUUAGGAGGAACACCAGUGGCGAAGGCGGCUUACUGGACUGUAACUGACGUUGAGGCUCGAAAGCGUGGGGAGCAAACAGGAUUAGAUACCCCUGUAGUC
rnacentral:rRNA from 1 species